UACGAAGGGGGCAAGCGUUGUUCGGAAUUACUGGGCGUAAAGGGCGCGUAGGCGGCCGAUCAAGUCAGGCGUGAAAUUCCCGGGCUCAACCUGGGGGCUGCGCUUGAUACUGAUUGGCUUGAAUGCGGGAGAGGAUAGUGGAAUUCCCAGUGUAGAGGUGAAAUUCGUAGAUAUUGGCUGGAACACCGGUGGCGAAAGCGGCUCUCUGGCCCGGUUCUGACGCUGAGGCGCGAAAGCGUGGGGAGCAAACAGG
rnacentral:rRNA from 1 species